UACAGAGGGUGCGAGCGUUUAAUCGGAAUUACUGGGCGUAAAGCGUGCGUAGACGGCUAUCUAAGUCGGGUGUGAAAGCCCCGGGCUCAACCUGGGAAUUGCAUUCGAGACUGAAUAGCUAGGGUACGGUAGAGGGAAGUGGAAUUUCCGGUGUAGCGGUGAAAUGCGUAGAUAUCGGAAGGAACAUCAGUGGCGAAAGCGACUUCCUGGACCAGUACCGACGUUCAGGCACGAA
rnacentral:rRNA from 1 species